GCGAACGCUGGCGGCAGGCCUAACACAUGCAAGUCGAACGAACCUUUCGGGGUUAGUGGCGGACGGGUGAGUAACACGUGGGAACGUGCCUUUAGGUUCGGAAUAACUCAGGGAAACUUGUGCUAAUACCGAAUGUGCCCUUCGGGGGAAAGAUUAAUCGCCUUUAGAGCGGCCCGCGUCUGAUUAGCUAGUUGGUUGAGGUAAUGGCUCACCAAGGCGACGAUCAGUAGCUGGUCUGAGAGGAUGACCAGCCACAUUGGGACUGAGACACGGCCCAAACCCCGAGGGGAGGCGGGAGGGGGGAAUCUUGCGAAAUGGGGGAAGGCCAGAAGCACCCAUGCCGGGUAAAUAAUGAAGUUUUAAGAGUAGAAAAUUUCUUUCACGGGGGACGAAAAUGACGGUCCCGGAAGAAGAAGCCCCGGCUAGCUUCGUG
rnacentral:rRNA from 1 species